UACGGAGGGUGCGAGCGUUGUCCGGAAUCACUGGGCGUAAAGGGCGCGUAGGCGGCCUGAUAAGUAGGGGGGUGAAAUCCUGCGGCUUAACCGCAGGGCUGCCUUCUAAACUGUCAGGCUAGAGCACGGUAGAGGCAGAUGGAAUUCCCGGUGUAGCGGUGGAAUGCGUAGAGAUCGGGAAGAACAUCAGUGGCGAAGGCGGUCUGCUGGGCCGUUGCUGACGCUGAGGCGCGACAGCGUGGGGAGCGAACAGG
rnacentral:rRNA from 1 species